GUGUAUAAGGUGCGAUGACGU
rnacentral:siRNA from 1 species